CAAAAAUGCAGCUCAGACAUCUCCUUACAUGCUGUGCUGGGCUCACAAAUCAGAGGAGCCCCCGUGUGCGUCUGGCACUGGAAGCACCCUCGUGCAAGGGCCGGCUUCCCAGCCAGCAGGGUCCCUCCUCCCAGAGCCUCCCACCUCCUCGCAGCUGCAGGACCCACCAGAGGGGCGGGGAGGUUUCUGGACGAGAAAGUCUGGCUCCACCCCUUCGCCACAGCCCGUGCGGCUCACGAGCAGGGCAGUGGCCAACACCCGGCUGACACCAGCCGUGGCUUCUGUUCCUCCUGUAAGUCUUUUGUACCUGAGAAGAGCAUGAUGUCUUCAUGCUUUAGCCUCCCAAGGUAAACUAGAGGUCUCCGCCGAGGCAGAGAAGAUUUGGCUGCUGAAAUGCGAUCUGAGCAGCCUGUUCCAGCUGCUGCACUGUGGCUGUCCUCGGAACAGGUCAAGGGAGCACAGCACACUCUCUCAUCUCCAGAGACAGUCGGAAGACAGGAUGAACACGGAAAGCUCAGCGAGGAGCUGCAGCCCGCCCACACCUGCCCCUCCAGCCUCACCCUGCUCGGCCACACCGGCCCACCAGGACGCCUUCCCUCCCUCUGCGUCCUUGUCCGCCCACCUCAGGGGGCCUGGCACCGUCCUGCCUGCUGGCCGUCGUUGGUGCUCAGCUCUGCCGCGACCAGGUCUGCCCUCGCCAGCGGGACCCGGGUGCGGCCCUCCUGUGUCUCCUGCCCUGCUUUCCCAAGCAAAGGCUCAGGCUGCAGGUGCCAGCCACUUGGACUCUGCCUGAGAAGCUGCCCACCGGCCGUCACGUUUGGAAUCCUGCCCCUGAGCUCCCGCUGUGGACCACACGCUCCUGCCAGACAGAAAGACCUUUGGCGGGAAAAGACCUGCCCGAAUCCAGGCGGAUCACACUGGAAAAGCCACAGGCCCACCACAGUUCACUUCCUGUUUCUGAGAUCAGAAGAUGUCCACAGCCCCAGGCGACUGUGAGACCCAGUGAGGAGAGGGUGGACGCAGCACGUGGAAGGAGAGGCCUCCGAGGACUUUCCAAGUCAGUGUCCAGGCAGGCAAGGGAGGCGGCCUAGGAACAUCUCUUCUGAGAGGCUUCAGUGCUUGCGUCCCACAGCCACUACUCCGAUUUUCUUUCUCCCCAGUCUCUGGUGGAAGAGGCUGCCAUCCUCAGUUCCAGUACCACGGCACCAAGCUUGCUUCUUCACCGGAUCCUCCUGCUGUGGUGAGUUCUCCACAGAGCUCUCGCAGGCCCAGUGUUCGGUGUUCAUCCUUCACUCAUCUGUCAGCAAGUGUUUAUUGAGUGCCCACCUCUGCCUUAGCUUCUGGGAAUGCAAAUAAGAAAAGCAAGCUCUCGCCUUCACAGCGUUAUUGGUCUGAUCAGUGCUGGCUUUGCAGGUGUCCAGCAUCUGUGGCAACAGGGACCAAGUGUGUAAAUUCAUGCAGGCGCCCAUGGGUAAAUUAUCACAGCUGCAAGAGAGGGUGUGAUGUGGGUGCA
rnacentral:lncRNA from 1 species